AGCGAACAUUGGCGGUAGGCUUAACACAUGCAAGUCGAGCGAGGCGAAAUAGUCGAGCGGCGAACGGGUGCGUAAUACAUGGGAAUCUACCCUGAAGUGGGGGUUAACGUUCAGAAAUGGACGCUAAUACCGCAUAAUCCACAUUGAGAACACGUAGCAGCGCUGUAGGAUGAGCCCAUGGCUGGUUAGCUAGUUGGUGAGGUAAUGGCUCACCAAGGCGACGAUCAGUAGCUGGUCUGAGAGGAUGACCAGCCACACUGGAGCUGAGACACGGUCCAGACUCCUACGUGAGGCAGCAGUGGGGAAUCUUGCGCAAUGGGGGCAACCCUGACGCAGCCAUACCGCGUGAGUGAUGAAGGUCUUCGGAUUGUAAAGCUCUUUCGGCGGGGACGACGAUGACGGUACCCGCAAAAGAAGUCACGGCUAACUUCGUGCCAGCCGCCGCCGGUAA
rnacentral:rRNA from 1 species